rnacentral:rRNA from 1 species
GAUGAACGCUAGCGGCAGGCCUAACACAUGCAAGUCGAGGGGCAGCAUAGUGGUAGUUUACUACUAAUGAUGGCGACCGGCGGACGGGUGCGUAACGCGUAUGCAACCUACCUUUAAGAGGGGGAUACUUCCGGGAAACUGGUUCUAAUACCCCAUAAUAUAGAUUAAGGCAUCUUAGUUUAUUGAAAUGAAUUUCGCUUAAAGAUGGGCAUGCGUUGUAUUAGAUUGUUGGUGAGGUAACGGCUCACCAAGUCUACGAUACAUAGGGGGACUGAAAGGUUUACCCCCCACACUGGUACUGAGACACGGACCAGACUCCUACGGGAGGCAGCAGUGAGGAAUAUUGGUCAAUGGUCGGAAGACUGAACCAGCCAAGUCGCGUGAGGGAAGACAGCCCUAUGGGUUUUAAACCUCUUUUGUAAUGGAAGAAUAAGUCUUACGUGUAGGACGAUGCCAGUACAUUACGAAUAAGCAUCGGCUAACUCCGUGCCAGCCGCCGCCGUAAUAC